GUAUAUCUCUAAAUAAAUUUCCAUAUUUGGAACAUAAUAAAAAAAAAUUACGAUCAAAUAACUUGGCAUUAAAUUUCCCGACAGAGAAGCGGCUCCCAUAUUCCAUUCACCGAUCACAGAGAGGUUAGCAUCGGUGUAGACGAUAAACUUUUUGUUUUUCCCGAUCGUGUCUAUACUAACCAUGUUGUUAUCGUCUGGGUUAUUCUGAGUUUCGGAUCUGAUCUUGCUUCUUAUAUUUCCUUCAGCAUGUUUUCUGUCCUGGUGAUAUCAUCUCUACGGUUGGAGUUCUUUAACAAGGGGACUGUUCCUCUUCAUCGUCCUGACCAAUAUGAAUUUGAAUGAUUUUAUUGCUAUCUUAGAGAUUGAAGGUUUCAUUAAUAAACGGCCUCAAAUUUGUCCAAUUUCCCUAAUUCAGUUCAGUUUGGUGGCCUCGAGUUUGAGGGAGUCUGCAUUGCUAUAGGCUAGCAUUUGGCGGAGUAGAUUCGUAGUGGUUAGACAUAUUUGGAGAUUCAAAGUCAUUUUUUAAGGACGAAGUACUAUUUGUUCAUGAAUGCCAUGCAAAUUUGAUAUUUCAACCUAUUGAAGCAAGUGAGACAGUCAUGUCGAUUGGUGAAGCAUGUGAGGAAAAUAAUCUAGAUUUGUGAUUUUGUGUGCAAUGGAAAAUAUGGUUUCUUUAUUCAUUGUAAUAUAGAAGCUUUUGUACGCACAUUACUUUUAAACUUAUUCUGUAUGACAUUAUUAUAUUUUGGAAUAUAUAAGUAUGUUUCUAUUAUUACUCGAUACAAAAUUUUGGUAUACUGUAAUUCCUUAAAUUUUCUCUCAAUAUGGUGGUAAAAUCUACAUAUAUGCAAGGAAAAAAAAAAGAGGAGGAACAACUUUAAUCAAGAAAAAGCAAAAUUUCUUAGGUCGGUUAAAAGAAAACCGACCUAACCAAUAUUUUUAAAGUAACCGAUCUAAUAAGUCGUUUAUAACCGACUGAAAAGUGUUUUUUUUUGGUACUAGUGGUUAGCUAUUUUUUGAAAAGUUUGGUUCAGUAUAUCAAGCUGAUCCCCUUAGACUUCCAAGUUUGA